GGUUGUAUGGUGUAGUGGUUAGCACUUCAGAUUCUGAUUUGAGAUUUCUGGCGACUUGGGUUCAAUUCCCAAUACGACCU